rnacentral:rRNA from 1 species
UGGGAACGCGAAGAACCUUACCUAGACUUGACAUCUCCUGAAUUACCCUUAAUCGGGGAAGCCCUUCGGGGCAGGAAGACAGGUGGUGCAUGGUUGUCGUCAGCUCGUGUCGUGAGAUGUUGGGUUAAGUCCCGCAACGAGCGCAACCCUUAUUGUUAGUUGCUACCAUUUAGUUGAGCACUCUAGCGAGACUGCCCGGGUUAACCGGGAGGAAGGUGGGGAUGACGUCAAAUCAUCAUGCCCCUUAUGUCUAGGGCUACACACGUGCUACAAUGGCUGGUACAGAGAGAUGCUAAACCGUGAGGUGGAGCCAAACUUUAAAACCAGUCUCAGUUCGGAUUGUAGGCUGAAACUCGCCUACAUGAAGCUGGAGUUGCUAGUAAUCGCGAAUCAGAAUGUCGCGGUGAAUACGUUCCCGGGUCUUGUACACACCG